rnacentral:lncRNA from 1 species
UCGUUUCUUUCCGUUAUUUUAGAAAGAAAAACGAGAAGACCAACAUGGCCAUCUUUAUAUAUUCCAUGCCACCCAGUCGUUCAUUGGUGCCCUCGCAAUGUUGCUUUGAUCAUCAGGGCGGUAGUGAUGCUUCUCACUGAUGCACGAGCAUUUGCUCAUCUCCUCUGGCUAAAAUUUGAAUCUGAGCUACGUUCUGUCCUGAAGUCCGCAUUAUAGCAGCACCACGUCGCGACGGCGACAGGAGGAGCUCCACCGACGCUGCUCCUGACCACAACAACAGCCUUAGCCAUUGGACGAAUGGAGCAGGCCGAUGGUACGAGGACUACUCCCUCUCGAAAAGAAAGCGGGCUCCUACGGCUUGAGCGGCAUGAUGCUUCUCGUCCAACGGCACCGGUUGGCAUAGCAACUGUGCUAUGAUGGUAUUUGAGGGUUGGCAUGGCUCAUGGAACAAGGCGAUGUAGCCUACUACAACGGCUAUCACUGUGCACGGACGUCACCCUCGCCAUUGGCGGUGUUCGUUCCUCCUACAGCGACAAUCAUCAUGAGUUACCAUGCACGUGCAACUUCCCGCAACGAUAUCUCGACUGGACGUACAGCCUCGAGCGUCGUUCCAAGCCAGUGCGAUUGUUUACAGUAGAAACUGUAUGCAGGUCGGAAGAGGUCCUCCGUCAAAGACGCGUACCUAGGUUAGGUCGCCUUGACGGUCACAGAAGGGAAGCAUGAUGCUGAGCAGCGCACUCACUUCGCAUUCAGGGUCGUUUGAACCGCAAGCAUGAAAAUGACAGAAAAAAAAAAGGCAUUUUAGUAGCGGAUAGCUGAAGUUAUGCGGCUGCCUUCGCUAUGGAUCUGGCUGAUGCAGUGGUGCCAAUGGUGACAGUGCAAUGGUGCGGCAAUUUCUUCAUGCGCAGACAAAACAGCGAUCGCAAUGGUAGCGUUAAUAGAAGAGGCAUAAACGACAGAAUCCGGCAGCAACCGACAACGAGUGAGCGAAUCAAAGCGGCACCACCAUUGCCGCCAUCAGCCACGAGGGAAGUAGGAAUCCCCAGGCAGUGAACACCAGGGUGAACGUCCGCCGUAGGGAGGGGGGUUGUUGUGGUGUUGGAGCAUCGCCAGCAGAGCACCGGCAGCAUCUGUCUGUUCGCUAUUGUCCAUCUAUUUGCCGCCCUGUACGCGUAAGGCAGCGCGAACUUCUGCAGUAGCAAUAGCAGUGGUAGGAAAUCGCCGUGUCGGAAGAGCGCUGCAAACACGGCAAAGAAAAAUCGAGACUAGAGAAAAGGAGAUACUAAAGGAGUAUAGCUCGAAGAGGACCGUGUAGAGAUUCAGCAAGAACACAACAAUAGAUAGGCGCAGUCGAAUCGGUGGCACCAACGACAAGCCAGUUUCAGCCAGGGACAGUUUCAUCGCAGUCUCAAGUUGAUUACUUCGGCGAAAAGCGCUUCUGAGUUCGGCCCUUUGCCAGUGAAGGCCGCGAAACAAAGCGCAGAAGGAGCAAAUAACAGGCAGUCGCUAGACGUACGUAAUUGAAGUUGCUGGCGUGCCGCGCCGGGAUCUUGGCUAGCAAAACUUCUCUCAUCAUAAGAAAAUCAAACGUCAUCAGAAAAUCGCCUUUUUCAUUACGAGCUUGAUGCGAUAUAGAGACAUAGCACAUGUGUCCACAAGUGCUAUGAAAUAAGAUCGACAUCGCGCAGAAGGCUCACUGACAAAAUGACCGGUAAAUCAGAACAAUGACUAUACCAACUGCAAAAAUAUAAUGCAAGAAAGAACUAGGGUAUAUCACGAUUGCGCAAGCCAUAAU